AGAGGCGAAUUAAAUAUAGAAUCGGUGAUUGGAGAGGGGUGGAAUGGGAAGAAUGAAAAAUUGCAUGAAGGAAGGUAGAAUAAAGAGGACGCUUGGCAAUCGGCAUGAUCUAUUGAGCUAUGCU